GACGAACGCUGGCGGCGUGCUUAACACAUGCAAGUCGAACGGAAAGGCCCUGCGUUUGUGGGGUGCUCGAGUGGCGAACGGGUGAGUAACACGAGAGUAACCUGCCCUUGACUUUGGGAUAACUUCAGGAAACUGGGGCUAAUACCGGAUAGGAGCUCCUGCGGCAUGGGGGGGGUUGGAAAGUUUCGGCGGGUGGGGAUGGACUCGCGGCUUAUCAGCUUGUUGGUGGGGUAGUGGCUUACCAAGGCUUUGACGGGUAGCCGGCCUGAGAGGGUGACCGGCCACAUUGGGACUGAGAUACGGCCCAGACUCCUACGGGAGGCAGCAGUGGGGAAUAUUGCACAAUGGGCGGAAGCCUGAUGCAGCAACGCCGCGUGCGGGAUGACGGCCUUCGGGUUGUAAACCGCUUUCGCCUGUGACGAAGCGUGAGUGACGGUAAUGGGUAAAGAAGCACCGGCUAACUACGUG
rnacentral:rRNA from 1 species